rnacentral:rRNA from 1 species
UACGUAGGGGCGAGCGUUGUCCGGAAUGAUUGGGCGUAAAGGGCGCGUAGGCGGCUGUGCAAGUCAGUAGUGGAAGCCAAGCUUUCAAGGUUGGAAGUGCUAUUGAAACUGUGCAGCUUGAGUGCAGGAGAGGUUAUCGGAAUUCCCGGUGUAGCGGUGAAAUGCGUAGAGAUCGGGAGGAACACCAGUGGCGAAGGCGACUCUCUGGUCUGUAACUGACGCUGAGGCUCGAAAGCGUGGGGAGCAAACAGGAUUAGA